UACGGAGGGUGCGAGCGUUGUCCGGAAUCACUGGGCGUAAAGGGCGCGUAGGCGGCGCGGGAAGUCCAUGGUGAAAGCCCGAGGCUCAACUUCGGGUCGGCCAAGGAUACUCCCGGGCUCGAGCACUGUAGAGGCAGGUGGAAUUCCGGGUGUAGCGGUGGAAUGCGCAGAUAUCAGGAGGAACACCGGUGGCGAAGGCGGGUCUCUGGGCCGUAACUGACGCUGAGGAGCGAAAGCAUGGGGAGCGAACAGG
rnacentral:rRNA from 1 species